rnacentral:rRNA from 1 species
UACUUGUGUGAUCCUGCCAGUAGUCAUAUGCUUUCUCAAAGA